GAACAACUUACCGAAAGGUGAGCUAAUGCCAGAUGAGUUAUAUAAGUGCAUGUUUAUAUAGGAAAAGUUGGGGAGACCUGACGCUGAAAGAUGGACUCGCGUCCCAUUAGCUAGUUGGUAGGGUAAUGGCCUACCAAGGCGACGAUGGGUAGCCGGCCUGAGAGGGUGGCCGGCCACACUGGGACUGAGACACGGCCCAGACUCCUACGGGAGGCAGCAGUGGGGAAUUUUGCGCAAUGCUCGUAAGAGUGACGCAGCGACGCCGCGUGAAUGACGAAGGCCUUCGGGUCGUAAAGUUCUUUCGACAGGGAAGAAAAUGCCUAUAAGUAACUGUGUAUGUAUUGACGGUACCUGUAUAAGCAGCCCCGGCUAACUCCGUGCCAGCAGCCGCGGUAAUACGGAGGGGGCGAGCGUUGUUCGGAGUGACUGGGCGUAAAGAGCACGUAGGCGGUGUUGUAAGUCAUUAGUCAAAGACUAGAGCUCAACUUUAGUAAGGCUAGUGAUACUAUAAUACUAGAGUAUCAGAGAGGAUUGCAGAAUUCCUGGUGUAGCGGUGAAAUGCGUAGAUAUCAGGAGGAAUACCGUUAGCGAAGGCGGCAAUCUGGCUGGAAACUGACGCUGAGGUGCGAAAGCGUGGGUAGCAACAGGAUUAGAUACCCUGGUAGUCCACGCUGUAAACGAUGGAUGCUAGGUGU
rnacentral:rRNA from 1 species